GGUUAAGCGACUAAGCGUACACGGUGGAUGCCCUCGGCAGUCAGAGGCGAUGAAGGACGUGCUAAUCUGCGAAAAGCGUCGGUAAGGUGAUAUGAACCGUUACAGCCGGCGAUGUCCGAAUGGGGAAACCCAGUGCAAUUCGUUGCACUAUCGUUAACUGAAUACAUAGGUUAACGAGGCGAACCGGGGAACUGAAACAUCUAAGUACCCCGAGGAAAAGAAAUCAACCGAGAUUCCCCCCAGUAGCGGCGAGCGAACGGGGAGCAGCCCAGAGUCUGAAUCAGCUUGUGUGUUAGUGGAACGGUCUGGAAAGUCCGACGGUACAGGGUGAUAGUCCCGUACACCAAAAUGCACAGGUUGUGAACUCGAAGAGUAGGGCGGGACACGUGGUAUCCUGUCUGAAUAUGGGGGACCAUCCUCCAAGGCUAAAUACUCCUGACUGACCGAUAGUGAACCAGUACCGUGAGGGAAAGGCGAAAAGAACCCCGGCGAGGGGGAGUGAAAAAGAACCUGAAACCGUGUACGUACAAGCAGUGGGAGCACCUUCGGGUGUGACUGCGUACCUUUGUAUAAUGGGUCAGCGACUUAUAUUCUGUAGCAAGGUUAACCGUAUAGGGGAGCCGCAGGAAACCGAGUCUUAACUGGGCGUUAAGUUGCAGGGUAUAGACCCGAAACCCGGUGAUCUAGCCAUGGGCAGGUUGAAGGUUGGGUAACACUAACUGGAGGACCGAACCGACUAAUGUUGAAAAAUUAGCGGAUGACUUGUGGCUGGGGUGAAAGGCCAAUCAAACCGGGAGAUAGCUGGUUCUCCCCGAAAGCUAUUUAGGUAGCGCCUCGUGAACUCAUCUUCGGGGUAGAGCACUGUUUCGGCUAGGGGUCAUCCCGACUUACCAACCCGAUGCAAACUACGAAUACCGAAGAAUGUUAUCACGGGAGACACACGGCGGGUGCUAACGUCCGUCGUGAAGAGGGAAACAACCCAGACCGCCAGCUAAGGUCCCAAAGUCAUGGUUAAGUGGGAAACGAUGUGGGAAGGCACAGACAGCCAGGAUGUUGGCUUAGAAGCAGCCAUCAUUUAAAGAAAGCGUAAUAGCUCACUGGUCGAGUCGGCCUGCGCGGAAGAUGUAACGGGGCUAAACCAUGCACCGAAGCUGCGGCAGCGACACUAUGUGUUGUUGGGUAGGGGAGCGUUCUGUAAGCCUGCGAAGGUGUGCUGUGAGGCAUGCUGGAGGUAUCAGAAGUGCGAAUGCUGACAUAAGUAACGAUAAAGCGGGUGAAAAGCCCGCUCGCCGGAAGACCAAGGGUUCCUGUCCAACGUUAAUCGGGGUAGGGUGAGUCGACCCUAAGGCGAGGCCGAAAGGCGUAGUCGAUGGGAAACAGGUUAAUAUUCCUGUACUUGGUGUUACUGCGAAGGGGGACGGAGAAGGCUAUGUUAGCCGGGCGACGGUUGUCCCGGUUUAAGCAUGUAGGCUGAUUGUCCGAGGCAAAUCCGGAUAAUCAAGGCUGAGGUGUGAUGACGAGGCACUACGGUGCUGAAGUAACAAAUGCCCUGCUUCCAGGAAAAGCCUCUAAGCAUCAGGUAACAUUAAAUCGUACCCCAAACCGACACAGGUGGUCAGGUAGAGAAUACCAAGGCGCUUGAGAGAACUCGGGUGAAGGAACUAGGCAAAAUGGUGCCGUAACUUCGGGAGAAGGCACGCUGGUGUGUAGGUGAAGUCCCUGCGGAUGGAGCUGAGACCAGUCGAAGAUACCAGCUGGCUGCAACUGUUUAUUAAAAACACAGCACUGUGCAAACACGAAAGUGGACGUAUACGGUGUGACGCCUGCCCGGUGCCGGAAGGUUAAUUGAUGGGGUUAUCCGUAAGGAGAAGCUCUUGAUCGAAGCCCCGGUAAACGGCGGCCGUAACUAUAACGGUCCUAAGGUAGCGAAAUUCCUUGUCGGGUAAGUUCCGACCUGCACGAAUGGCGUAAUGAUGGCCGAGGCUGUCUCCACCCGAGACUCAGUGAAAUUGAACUCGCUGUGAAGAUGCAGUGUACCCGCGGCAAGACGGAAAGACCCCGUGAACCUUUACUAUAGCUUGACACUGAACAUUGAGCCUUGAUGUGUAGGAUAGGUGGGAGGCUUUGAAGCGUGGACGCCAGUCUGCGUGGAGCCAACCUUGAAAUACCACCCUUUAAUGUUUGAUGUUCUAACGUUGGCCCAUGACCGGGGUUGCGGACAGUGUCUGGUGGGUAGUUUGACUGGGGCGGUCUCCUCCCAAAGCGUAACGGAGGAGCACGAAGGUUAGCUAAUCCUCGGUCGGACAUCAGGAGGUUAGUGCAAUGGCAUAAGCUAGCUUGACUGCGAGCGUGACGGCGCGAGCAGGUGCGAAAGCAGGUCAUAGUGAUCCGGUGGUUCUGAAUGGAAGGGCCAUCGCUCAACGGAUAAAAGGUACUCCGGGGAUAACAGGCUGAUACCGCCCAAGAGUUCAUAUCGACGGCGGUGUUUGGCACCUCGAUGUCGGCUCAUCACAUCCUGGGGCUGAAGUAGGUCCCAAGGGUAUGGCUGUUCGCCAUUUAAAGUGGUACGCGAGCUGGGUUUAGAACGUCGUGAGACAGUUCGGUCCCUAUCUGCCGUGGGCGCUGGAGAAUUGAGGGGGCUGCUCCUAGUACGAGAGGACCGGAGUGGACGCAUCACUGGUGUUCGGGUUGUCAUGCCAAUGGCACUGCCCGGUAGCUAAAUGCGGAAGAGAUAAGUGCUGAAAGCAUCUAAGCACGAAACUUGCCCCGAGAUGAGUUCUCCUGAGACUAUAAGUCUCCUGAAGGAACGUUAAAGACGAUGACGUUGAUAGGCCGGGUGUGUAAGCGCAGCGAUGCGUUGAGCUAACCGGUACUAAUGAACCGUGAGGCUUAACCUU
rnacentral:rRNA from 1 species